rnacentral:miRNA from 1 species
UCCUUCAUUCCACCGGGUCCUG